GAAUCAUUGGGUGUAAAGGGUGCGUAGGCUGGCGCCUAAGUCUGGGGUGAAAUCUUGCCGCUUAACGGUAAAAUUGCCUUGGAUACUGGGUGUCUUGAAUCUGACAGAGGUCGGUGGAAUUCGUGGUGUAGCGGUGAAAUGCAUAGAUAUCACGAAGAACAUCAGUGGCGAAGGCGGCCGGCUGGGUCAGUAUUGACGCUGAGGCACGAGAGCGUGGGGAGCGAACAGGAUUAGAUACCCUGGUAGUCCACGCUGUAAACGAUGUAUGCUAGUUGUCGGGCCUAAGGGUUCGGUGACGCAGUUAACGCAGUAAGCAUACCACCUGGGGAGUACGUUCGCAAGAAUGAAACUCAAAGGAAUUGACGGGGGCCCGCACAAGCGGUGGAGCAUGUGGCUUAAUUCGAUGCAACGCGAAGAACCUUACCCGGGCUAAAUCUCUGGUGACCGCCCCCGAAACGGGGCUUCCCUUCGGGGCGCCAGGGAAGGUGCUGCAUGGCUGUCGUCAGCUCGUGCCGUGAGGUGUUGCCUUAAGUGGCGCAACGAGCGCAACCCCUGUGGUUAGUUACCAGCACGUAAUGGUGGGGACUCUAGCCAGACUGCCUACGCAAGUAGUGAGGAAGGUGGGGACGACGUCAAGUCAUCAUGGCCCUUAUGUCCGGGGCUGCACACGUGCUACAAUGGAUGGUACAGAGGGAAGCCACCCCGCGAGGUGGAGCCAAUCUCACAAAGUGCAUCCCAGUUCAGAUUGGAGUCUGCAACCCGACUUCAUGAAGGUGGAAUCGCUAGUAAUCGCGCAUCAGCCAUGGCGCGGUGAAUACGUUCCCGGACCUUGUACACACCGCCCGUCAAGCCAUGGAAGCUGGGGGUGCCUGAAGAUGGUGACUCAACAGGGAGCUAUCUAAGGUAAAACCAGUAACUGGGGCUAAGUCGUAACAAGGUAGCCGUA
rnacentral:rRNA from 1 species